UCAAAGAAGAGAGGAGAGAAGAGAGGCACGGCCAAAGGAGAGAAAAAAAAAAUUCCAAGCCUUCAACUUUGAUUCAAGAAUUAUAAUUUCCUUGUAUUCCUACUAAGUUCAAGAUUCUCUACAAAGUGGUAUAAUUAUUUUGGCAAGAAAGUGACUUUGGUGGCAAGGAGAACUUAUUGGAAAAAGAUUUUGGGCGAAACGGGAAUUGAAUUUGAGCGAGCGUAAGGCGCAACUAAGGUACAGACUCACGUUUUGGUGACCCACUGGCGUAGGAUUUUCAUUCUGCGGUUCGGAGUGCUCCCUUUGUUCCGGAGCCGACAUUUUGGGUACAUACUCUUCCGAUGUAUAUGUUUAUGUUUAUUCAGGGUACGGCGGGGCCCUGUCUCGCCAUCUGAUUCUGUUGUUCCGUAUUAGAGGUCUAUAGACGUAGACGUGGGUAAUGUACAGUUUUGUUUGGACGCGUUGUGUGAAUUGUGUUUGGGCGGCCCAUCCACCGUGGCAGCCCUAUCGGCCGCGUGUAUGUAUGCUUUGGUACGUUAUGUAUAGUAUGAUAGCCUUGCCAGCUUCCAUGCAGUAUAUAUGGUUGUAGGCACCAGUGUGGAGCCAUGUCUGAUAUUCAUUUAUAUACGAGUCGUCUGUAUGUUGAAUCUGGUAAAUGAGCGCGUAGGGGUGCCCAGUUCGGGCACUAGUCACGGCCUACGGGGAUGGGUCGUGACAUUCAAGUACAUUCUUCUGCGCCUGUG